UUCGAAGGGUGCCUAACCCCUUCCCUUCGGAAUAACUUGAACCCCUUACCUAGAAUCAUAUUGGUUUCGUAGAUAUUUCUUUCAGGUUACUUAAUUAAUCGGUUUCCUAAUUUUUCCAAAAAAUUAGGUGGCGACUCCCUUUAAUCCUUUUAAACUCAUUUUACCACUUUUUAACCUCUUUUACCAGUUUUAAAUUUUUUUUAACAAGUUCUUUUUUAAUUGAGUCACCGCGACGUUGCUCCCAUUCAAAGGAUGUCAACAGUAUACACUAGAAAGAAGCAUUAAUAAAGAAAGGUAAGAAAAUAUCCUACAUGUCUCUCCUCCUAUCUAUAUAAGGUAAUAGAAUAUAUUUACAUUAUUCUGUAACAUAAGUAAAAAAGGAAAUAAGGAUAAACAACAUAAGUAUUCCAAAAAUUAUAAUAUAACAAAAUCGUUCCCAAACCUGAAUGUCACGUGUACAAGCCACAUUAAGUUUUAGGCAAAAAAAAUGAGAAAAAUUAUAUCAAGCUUGAAAUAUAUUCAAAUCCAUCACCACCAAGCUAAUAAGGUGUUGGUCCAUACCUUCUUGAAGGUCUUGAAACAAACACACAAGAAAAAAAAUCUUGACUCUACUAUAGCGGACAACCCUUUUUUUUAAUUCAAACUUAGACAUAACCCAUUUAUUACUAAACGAUCAGAAUCUGAAUAGGCCCAAAAGUGACCUGCAUCCAUAAACUAAAAAAAAAAUCUUAAAAAGGGAAGUAAUAUAAAAGAAAGGUCCAAGAAUAAUUAUACUUCCGGAUUUGUCAUCGAUGUUCCUCCGAACUGGCCCCCAAAUUCAUCAACUUGUUAUUGAACUAAGAUUAUUGAGCUUGAGUGAAUUUCACCUCUACACUAACCUCUCACAAGUUCCAUAAAAUCGACCUCCUCGAAGACUUCUUCAACUCAAAAUGGGUUCAUACGUCAAAUCUAGGAACUUUUAGCCAUGACCCAACAAUCUUCAUCUAGAAUCAGCAGAGCUGAUAAAUACUCCCGAGUUUUUCCCUCUAAACAAAAUGAGCUUCGAAGAACUGAUACCACUGCGAAGAGAUCCAUUUCGACUCCACUGUCCCCUAGCCGUUAUGAGCAAUAGGCUAUCACGCAAUUCUGGAGACAAAGAAUUUAAGAUCCAAGAUGUUACCAUAUCAUCACAUCUUUCCCAUUGCAUGAAAUUAGGAUCAAUAGAAACAGGCUUCACAAUUGCUCCAUUAAUAAAACCUGUUUUGCUUUUAACUGACAAUGCUCUGAGAACUGCUCUUCGCCAAGAUCUAUAGCCAAUACCAUAGAAAACUCCAGGUAAGAAGGAUGAUCCUGCAUUUUCUGAGGGAUGCAGGUAAAAAGGACUGGUAAAAUCCAAUCGAGAUGUAGUUGAACUAGAAGAAGAAACACCUCCAACUUGAGUACCAGUUAUUGUGUUCGAAUAUUUGUGAGAAAAACUAACACGAAAACAACUAGAAACUUGCUAAUCUCCAACUACGAAAUGUGUUUCCUCAAUCAGAAAGAAAGAAGAAGAAGAAGAAGAAGAAGAAAAAUGACAGAAACAGAGAAUUCACAACACAAUCUCUCAAUCAGUUAAACGAAUCGAUUGAAAACAACACAGAAAGAGAAGAAGCUCAUGAAUCGACUUCGAAACAGGAACAACUACGAUACAUCAAUCAAUGCUCUGAUACCAUGAAAAGAUUAUCACCAUUGAUGAACUUGACACCAUUGAUGACCUUCAACUAGAGUUGUAACUGAAUUGAGAGAGGAAAAUGUAUAUUGUAUUGAAUGUGAAUUAAGUGAAGAAGAUUACAAUAUUAACCUAUAUAUAAAACUAACUAACAACCUUGCUAA